ACGGCGCCGUCGGAUCCCAGAGCGGCUGGUGAGGAGAUGGGCCUGGCGCGCCGCGGGGAGGCCAGAGGCGCGGAGGAGCAGCGCCCAGAUGGCCGGAGAGAGCAGAGAGAGAGAGAAGAGAGAGAGAAGAGAGAGAGAGAGAGAAGAGAGAGAGAGGGAGAGAGGCAGAGAGGGAGAGAGGGAGGGAGAGAGGGAGGGAGGGAGGGAGGGAGAGAGAGAGAGAGAGAGAGAGAGAGAGAGAGAAUAUGAGAAUAUGAGAAUAUAAAAGGCAAGAGAGAAGCAGAUCCAAGGGCGCGCCCAGAGAAACAUCAAAUGCACAAAUAGACAAAAGAGGUAGAGGAGAAAGCUGAGUCCCAGGGGCUGAAAGAAGCCAUGGGCGUCUGAAGCGAGCGACAAGUUAUCCUUGGGAGUUGGAAAUGUGAGAGGGAGGGGCGAGGCCGAAGGAGGCUGAGAAGGGGAGGGGGCGCUCACACCCUGGGCGGGAGGCGACUGAUCCACACUUAGGGCUCCGAAUCCGGAGAAAGAGAGCGCCGGACCCUCCUCCGCCCACCUCCCGCCCCAGCCGCAGCCCAGCGACUUCCCGCCAUCCUCGGCCACCGAGCGGCUCCUGCCUGGGGUUGUUCGACCGGGAUGGCUGCACCAGGCUGAAGGUGCAAGCUUAAAGUGUUGCUGCCAGACCUUUCUUCUCUUCUAAUUUACCAAGUGAAGAAUGUUGAAAUAUCCAACUAUAAUUUGUGGAUUUCUCCUUUCAAUGCUAUCAUUUUUGGUGCUUCAUGUAUUUUUGAAGCUCUAUUAUUAGCCUCUCUUGAACCUUCACAGUCCAGCCGAGCUGCCAUCUCUUCAAGGAAGUUUUCCCUGAAGCCCUCAGGUAGACCCGUUUUUCCAUGGCGGCCACAUCAGCAUGCAGCACAUUUAAUUGGAAGUCUCCACAUAUGAGUUGGUUUUCCUUACUUAAAAUAUGCUUAUCAUCCCUUGGAGCACUUGAAAAUAUUGGCUAUUUCCUUCUGACCCCCAUGGUUUCUUUUAAAAAAUUUGCUGUUGUUUGAAUUAUUUUUCUCUACAGGUAUUGACUGCUGCCUCAUGAAGGCUGGUCCUGUCUCUAUAGUGAAUAUUGUGCACCUCAGGGUAGAAUGGAGAGCAGAAGACUUCAAAUCAGGCAGUCUGGGUUCAGACCCCAAUUCUAGUGCUAAAUAGCUACGUGACUUUAGGCCGAUUGUGUGUGACUUCCCUGAGCCCCAGUCUCUUUGCCUGCAAAAUGAGAAAAAUUAUAACAAUGUCAUCGGUUGUUCUGAGGAUUCUGAGAGGAAUUAGUAGGAGAGAGAACUAAGAAGCUGCGGGCCUCUACAGAGCCAUUCAACUGGCAUUUCGGAAGAUGUUGCCCAUCAGAGUCAGACCUUCUUAGCAUCUUCCGGCUGGGCCCAAACUUCCCAAGACCAUUUGGACAAGGUCAUCUCUAUCCCACCAUGGCCUCCUCCCAGAGGAGGAGAAGAAUCAUGCUGUUACAGCAGAACCGAAGAUUUGGGCAAGGGAGCUAAUGAUUAUGUUCUGCGUCAGGUCAGAGAUGGGCUGGGAAAGCCACUCCAAAGCCAAGACAAGCAGUUUCCUGGAAAAAGAAGGCUGCGCGGAGCCCAGAGUGGCCUGGAUCCUGCCUCAUUUCCUGGACCAGCUCCUUAGGUGGUUACUGGAUUGCCAAUAAAGCAGAGCUUAUUAAAGUCAACGAGCUCAGGCUUCAUCGCCGCCAUGGUAUCCAAGCACCAGUCUGUCUGGGAUUUCAUUUGCCAGAUGGACAAAGGAGAGGUUGUUCCAAUACAUAUCCUGAGUGGUGGGGGUGGGGAGAGAAGGGGAAGAAUGCUCUCUAGAGAAUUCUCUUUGUCCUCUGAAGUAAAUAGAGAUCAUGUCUUCCCCAGCCACACUCAGUGAUCUGAAUCUCUUGGACUGUGGAUUUUUCCUUUACCUGCUGUGAAGCCUUGAAAAGUAUGAAUUAGCUUGAUAAUGAUCCUCUAAAGAUGUUCAAGAGUUAAAGACGUGUUUAAGUUCUUCAGGCAAUCCAAUAUGACUACGGGUUUCCAAAAAUUUGAAGGAAACUGAAAAUCAUAGUUCCCAAACCAGAUAUUUUCCGGUGUCCAGAUGUUCACUGGCAUGCAAACCAAAUGUCUGGAUUAUGAGCUCCUUUUUUCAUUUCUUUUUAUCAGCUUACAUCCAGAUGUUGGAUCCAACUGGUCAGAGGCCUGGGGCAGAGACAGAAAUCAAAUCUAGGGUGUUCAUCUAGAGUCUCCUGCUCCUCCAUUCCUGCUUCCUCCUCACGCUGCCCCCACAUCCUCCCCAACUCACCUUCAUGCUACAUCUCGGCAAAUACAGCUCAUAUCCAGGCACGGUGCAGCCCUUGACAGCUGGGUCCGCAAAGGCAGAUCGGAUGUUCUGCCAAUUGAAUGGAAACUGUCCAUAGUGGGGAGCAGAGAGCCUCAUCUUUUCUGGAACUGAACAUCCAUCCUUAAGGCCAGAUUUCUCCCAUCACCAACUUUAACUCCUGCCCUAGCCCUCUCUCUUCCUUUUCAAAACCCUCUCCACCCAGGAAGGGAGAUUCUGGAGCCAAGACUGUACCAGCCACACCUCCCCAGAGUUGUUAAGGAAGGAACUCGAAGCCAGGGGUGGUCUUCUGGCAAGCACCCCCACUACCAGUAGCAGGACAGAUGUGUUUCUAAUGGACUACACUAUCCCCGGAGGUCACAUGAUUCAGGCUGCCAAGGGUACCUGCCCUUGGGAAAUCAACUCCCGAAGAUAAAUUGGGAUUGGGUCCUGAGAAGAUCCAUGGAAGCCCAGAGGACCCUGCCUCUCUCUGUUGCUUCAUGCUGUAGAGGCAGUACUGGGGAGGGCCUGCCCCACAUCCGGCAGGGCAGCUGGAACCAUGUGUUUGAUGACACUCUGCUCCCUCAAUGUGGAGCCUCAUCCUCAUCUCACAGUCUAGCAGGCCUCUGGUGGGUUAGGCUUGUCUCACCCAGUGUGUGAGUUUUUUUGGAAGUGACCUGAUUUUGGAGUUUCCCUCCAAGCCUUUCUCAGGUACAUGCUUUCUCUUUUAUUCUGUCUUCUUUUUUUGAUCUUCUUAAAUCUGAUUUUCUCCUUUUUCCCUCUCUUGUCUCCAUCUUUUUUCCAGUCUCUCGCUUCUCUUUAUUUCUCCCCAUAUUUCACUCUGUUCUCUCACCCCAACCUUUCCCUUCUGUUUCUCUCCCUCCCUCUCUUCCCACCCCCUGCCUGGCCUUCCAUAUAUCAAGCAGAGUUUUAUCACCUUAUGCAGGGGCAGCCCUGCCACCUGCCAUAAAGUUGAUAGGCUAAUGACAUUUUGUGGAUAUUGCCAUGUCACAAGUCCAGGACAGCAUCAAAAAUAGCCCUGAUGUCUAAACCACUUCAGCUAUCUUUUUUAUUUUUAAAAUAAAUACAUUCACAUGCUUUUAAGAAACUAUAAAAAUAUAUAAAGUAAAAAGAUCUUUCUCUCACACUGUCUCCACCUCUCCUGGUCUCACCGUUGUGCUUAGGGGAAACCAUUGUGAUUAGUUUCUCCUGUGUCCUUCCAGAGUGUCUUUAUGCAAAUGAAAAUUAUUGUGAUAAUAUAUUCCUAUUUUCCCCCUUACUACACAAAAGAUAGACUACCAUAAUCCCAUUCUGCACUUUUUUUUCACUUGAUAAUAAAAACAUGAUUUUAUUAA
rnacentral:lncRNA from 1 species